CCCUUAGAUGUUCUGGGCUGCACGCGCGCUACACUGAUGCGCUCAACGAGUUUACGACCUUGCCCGGAAGGGUUGGGUAAUCUUUUUAAAACGCAUCGUGAUGGGGAUAGAUUAUUGCAAUUAUUAAUCUUCAACGAGGAAUGCCUAGUAGGCGCAAGUCAUCAGCUUGCGUCGAUUACGUCCCUGCCCUUUGUACACACCGCCCGUCGCUCCUACCGAUUGGGUGUGCUGGUGAAAUGUUCGGAUCGGCCGUUUGUCGCGGUUUCCGCGUCAUGUGGCUGAGAAGUUCAUUAAACCCUCCCACCUAGAGGAAGGAGAAGUCGUAACA
rnacentral:rRNA from 1 species